rnacentral:rRNA from 1 species
AUUGAACGCUGGCGGCAGGCCUAACACAUGCAAGUCGAGCGAGCGGCGGACGGGUGAGUAAUGUCUGGGGACUGCCCGAUAGAGGGGGAGAAAUACUGGAAACGGUGGCUAAUACCGCAUAUUGUCGGAUAACCCAUAGGGGAUUAGCUAGUAGGUAAGGUAAUGGCUUCCCUAGGAGACGAUCCCUAGCUGGUCUGAGAGGAUGAUCAGCAACACUGGGACUGAGACACGGCCCAGACUCCUACGGAGGAAGCAGUGGGGAAUAUUGCACAAUGGGCGCAAGCCUGAUGCAGCCAUGCCGCGUGUAUGAAGAAGGCCUUAGGGUUGUAAAGUACUUUCAGUCGGGAGGCGUUACCGACAGAAGAAGCACCGGCUAACUCCGUGCCAGCAGCCGCGGUAAUUC